rnacentral:lncRNA from 1 species
ACCAAAUAAACUAAGAUGAAAAUACCAAACUAACCACCGAAUUUCAGAUUAAAUACCAUGCAACCAAGACCCAAUCAUUAGAAAUUUAACAAACAAACUGGGUGCUUGGGGAAUUAAAACCAAUUGGAGGUCAACUAACUAGCUAUUAGACCAAACGGUAGAGAGGAAAUAAGUGGAAUUUGGCUGCUGACAUGGGACGGUGGGUAGCUCUCGUCUGGACAGCUGCCCUGAAGGAAUCUGCUGAGUAUGCAGUGACCGAAUGAGGUGAACAUUGGAUUGAUCAGCACCGAAUGAAGAAGCUUGAGUGGUCGGUGGAGUGAAGGAAAUAUGUUCAAAUGCUCUUCUUACCAACCAAGCAUUGGAAACCAAAUCGAGAGUGAGAGUUUCGGUCAUAACCAUUCAUGCCAAAACACCACCGAGUGAGAAAUAUUUCUAGUUCCUCUUGUCCAGCUUGCAACCGAGAGAGAGUGUGUGUGUGAGGGAGAGAGUGCUAGCUUUAUCUCUCCAGCUCGCAACCUCAUAACCGUGAGUCAAAGUGAAUGAGAGGGAGAGAAAUCUUGUUAGCUGCAUCAUCCACCAGUUUUAACCGAGAGUGAAAGUGACGUAAGGAAGGAGAAGGAGAGAGUUGGAACGGAAACUUUGAGGAGCCGCAACAGAAAGCUAAGAGUAACCUGCAAUUACCGAAUUCUAAAGGAAAGAGGAACUCAUUUUUGGCCUCUUUCAACUGUGAGAACCAGCCACAAAGAAAGAAGGAAUGCAGUCUAUCGAGUCUAGGAUGGGAGAGUGGAACCAGAAUUUUAUUUUCUUAACUUAGGCCAUAAGAACCAGAGGUAAACUACUGUCCUCCUCUUCCAGUUCUUCCACGUUUAGUUAGUAGUCUUUUAGACUGAGUUGGAACCAAGUAAAAGAAAACUUUCUGGAAAACAAAGGUUAUCAAAGCUGGAAAUGUUAGUUUGAAGCUGCUGUGUGAUACUUGAUGAGCUAAUCUGCAAUUUUCCAGUUGUAUCUUCUGUUGCAUGUCUCACAUACAUUUUCUGGUCACAUAUCUUAACAUGGAUAUCACCUUUGAGAGGUUAAAAGCAAGGAAAAGAUGAAUUAAAAGCAGGAACAUUGUUGGAAAUUUUAUUGAGGACCGUAGGAAGAAAACUUGCUGGAAUUUUCCAGCUCUAUCCGAGAGAAGGAAAUGAAGAGGUUUCUAACUGUCCUCAUGAAUUAUGGCCUUGAAUCUCUAUGUUAAACUGUAGUAUAUGAUGUAUAAUAGCUGGUCUGAACAUGCAUGGAAGAUUUGAGCAAGAACUGAAGUGAUUAUUGGAGAGAAAAUAGUGUUGAGUGAUUGCUGCAACAAUUCUGGAAAAAAAUGCAGAAGGAAGAAGAUCGUGAGCUGAACCAGUAUUGUUCUGAUUUCCCUUGGCUAUAAACUUGUAUUCAUGCUGAUGGUACUCUGUAGUUUGAUAACCAACCUUUGCAUGUGGAAUUUAAUGAACAAAACUGAAAGAAAUUAGGGAGGAAAAACUAUGAACUGCGUUGUUAAUUGCUUCACAACUGAGUGAGUGAAGCAGGAUGGGCUUCCGUCCGGCCAUUUUUGACUAUGACAAUGUGAAAACUGGAUGUUGGUGUCUUCACAAGAAAUGUAGGUCUAUAUUUUAGCUUCGAAACGCUAUAAAGUUUGCCUCAAUCCGAUAAGCAUAGCUCUAGUUAUGAUUGAAAUACCAGAGGAUGGCAAAGCUGCCUUCCUCGUUGCCUUUCCUUUUGUUUCGCAUGCAUACAGCUUUGAUAAUGGCCGUGAGGAAACCAACUUUUAACUAACGUUUCUUCUAAUUUCCAAUCUUGUAAGCUUUCAUAAAUGAUAGCUAUGAUUGUGCUGAGAUUUAAUCGCUAUACCUAGUUCCACGAGUAGAGUUAGACUAAGGCAAUUGAGUGAAAAGUCACGAUAGUUAUAUACGUAAAGUGGCUUCUAAUUAUUUAAUAUUAUUUUCACGAAUAUUUUUAAAGGCUAUUAAAUUUUGGGACUGGUAUAGUGAAAAAAAACUUAAUUUCCAAAUAACUUAGAGUCUAAUUAAUAAAAGGGAACCAAGGGAAUACUUCUAAACCUUAAUUUUGGAAUCUUGAGUGGAAAAUGAUUUAAAUCCUAAAAUAAAUAUCUUAUGAAUUAUUAACUUGUCCAGGAUGUAGCUGUGAGCCAAGAAACAAACCCGAGGCUCAAGAGUAAUUUACUUGGAUAAUUGGUGAGUGUUUUCCGAAUUUAUGUAUUAAACUGCUUAUGUGUACCUAAAUGCAAUUAUAUGGCAAAUGUGUUUAUUAUGAAAUAUUGCUAAGUGAUUCAUUGUGAAGUGUUUUCAAUUGUCCCUCGCCUUUUAAGUCCAGAGUGUACUUUAUCGCACUCGUCUUAGUUGAGCUUGAAGGUCGAUAAUUGAUCGAGUGAUAUUAUAAGUGUGCAUGACUGUAAGCCGUGUGUGUACUUUAUCACACCGGCUGAACUGGGCCCCAAAACCCUCUGUUCAACGUACUAUUCGAGCCAGCAAAGGGUUUGGUCGGGUAGGACGGUAGUUUUGAGUAAGUGUUUCGGUAUGCUCGAGUAUUACCACGGAGUAGCAGAUUAUUGAUAUUGAUAUGGCCAUCCAAGUGAGGGAAAUGUUUAUUGUUUUGGAGGUUAUAAGGAAGAGUUCGGCGGAGUGUGUAGUGCAUUGAAGUGGCUCUAAUGCGAGCACCGUAUCCUUUUAAAAGUGAUUGUUCAGUGAAGCGUUUCCUCAAUUGCUAAUGAAAGUGAUUGUACAGUGAAAUGUGCACUACUUGUUUAUUUGUAUUGAUUCAUGUGAUUAUUAAAUGUUACUUGCAUGGAAACCUCACGGGCGUAAGCUCACCUUUUUAGCUUUGUUUUCCUUACAGGAGUUGGAGAUUGAAAAGUGAUUGGAUGGAAUUGGAAAGUUAUUUUUGGAAAUCCCAUCACUAUGUGUGUAUAUUGGAGUCACGUUUUCUUUCGUAUUUUAAGAUGGUUGAAUCUUUUGUUUUGAGUUGAUGUAAUAUUAAGAAUGGAUGUUUAGAACGUGUAUUUUUUUUCCUUUUAGUGGACAAAUCUAUGUUUCAAGCUGAUUGGAGUGGUACUUAAGAGUGAAUGUUCAGUUGUCCAAUGGUAAUGUUAUCUCUGAAGUUAAUGGGAGUGAGUGAGUCCUGGCGAGAGCCAGGCAGGCGAUCCGCUAACUUCUAGGGUAUGCCCUAGGAGAAGGUGGGGUCGUCAC